rnacentral:misc_RNA from 1 species
AGUACGAAUACAAACUGU